AUUUCCAACUUAAACACCCAUAAGGCACCAAAUCCUAUCUGAUCUUGGAAUCUAAGUAGGGUCAUUUGUGGUUAGUACUUGGAUGGAGGACUGCCAAGGAAUAUCAGGUGCUGUAUUUC
rnacentral:rRNA from 1 species